ACUUGCUUCUGAUCCCGGCGAGCUUUCUUCCAGAGGCACUGGGUCAGGGAGGCCAUGCCCUCUCUGAACCUCUGCCUCCCACGCUUAGAUGUGGGGCACAGCAGCUUGCAGUUCCCAGGCUUCCUAGGCUCGGCCCACCACUGCUGACAAUCCCGGCCGGCCUCUCCACCCAGAUUCUGGUUGCCGCCUCUCAGUCUGACUCCACGCAGGGACAUUCAUCUGCUUCUAAUUUCCACAUAGGGUUUCGGCUUUCUCUCUCCUGAAAAUGGGGUGAAAUAAACCCUUGAGAAUCUUAGGGUUCAAAGUUCUCUGCUCACUAGAGUCCUUCCAGACCCCUGAAUGCCUCGAACGCCCCGAAUGUGGGUCUAAUCAGCCAGAGGUGCAGACAGAACGAAAAGAUGGAAGGAAAAAGAAGCUCACACAUUGGAUGAUUUCUCUUCCUCCUAAACUAUGGAACACUUUAUUUAGGAUUUAUUUAAAAUUCUGAAAGAAGGUGAGUGACUAUGUUUAAUAGUAAAUUUUGUCCUUUCAUAAUUCCACGUGUACACUGAGUUCCGGUACAUUCAACCUCCUGAGCAGGCAUUCUUGCUUUGGCCGUUAUCUGCAGAUGAGAUCGUUCAGCCUUCAGCUCUGCCCUUGCUCAGUUACUCACUGGGCCUUCAGCCUCAGAUCGGGACCACAGCAUCGGGACAUUUUGUUCUUGGGCUUUCAGGUUCUGGACGUGAACAGUCGCUGGUUUCACAGAUUUUCCUUCCCGCAGGGGGCUACUGGGGAACUAUCCUGCCUCUAGCUGUGUAAGUCCAUCUAAUAAAAUCCCCACUUAAAUUAUAUGGACACUCUCUUGGUUCUGUUCCACUAAAGACCCCCUGACUAAUACAGCAAGAACAAUAAUAAAAUAGAAGAAUUGUGACGUUCUAUAGUGACUAUUUGCUCUAGGGCUACUAGGAAGUAAAAUGGCUUCAACACAGCCCUGUAAUUCUGUGACAGCUGAUCUGAUAACCAGUUAGCUACUGAGUGACUAGCUGGAGGGUAGCAUAUACAGCGUGGAUGCACUAGACACUUGGGUGAUUCACAUACAGGGCAGACCGGGCUAGCAUGAGAUUUCACACCAUCAGGAUGACAUAUAUUUUAAAACUUCACAAAUGUUUAUUUCUGAAAAUGCCCACUUCGUAUUUCUGUUAUCGACCACCAGUAACAAACCACAGAGAGCCAAAACCACCAUGGCAGAGGCACUGCUAUAUAUAGCGCUGGCAUGUGCACCAAGAAGUAAAAAGCACACUUCUAAGUGCAGCUCUAUCAGUUCACUUCUUUUCAGUAAAUGCUGUUCAUCACCAACCGCAGAGUUAUUUCCAUCCUAAUGGAUCAUCCUAACGCUCGGUUUCUGGAGCAGAAUCUGAUGAGGCUCUAACCAGUGGCAGGUUUCUUCUGUCUUGCUUUGUCUCCGAAUCAUUGUAUAAAGCAUUGAGCCGGGAGGAGUAAGUAUUAAAGAGAAGUCAAGGAACUAGAAGACAAGCGACAGGUAUUUAUCCAUCCCGAGAGCACAGUUCACAAAUCCAUCUCCCUGUUUAAAUUCAUCUGCAACGCAAGAACCUGCGUGAUAAGACACCCAAACCUAAGACUCACAUGUGAACGGAAGCCCAGUGCUCCAGCAAAAUGUUCACUCUGUUUCUCCUCUCUGCCACUGCUUCUUAAACUCUGUCCCCCUGCUUUUGUCUUCGGGCCAUAGCUGAGGACUUUCCACAUUUUUAUUUUCAUGCUGGGGUGGUGGGCAAGUGAGAAGCAGGUUAUGCUGUCUCGCUCAGAGGGCUCCCAGGCUCCCCUCUCAUCGCAGUGGGACCCACUGGUCUAACAUUCUGCUUCUAAAUGUCCCCUCCAUCUUCAUAUUUGGUGAGAAAAGAUAAAUGUCAUG